rnacentral:rRNA from 1 species
AUUGAACGCUGGCGGCAUGCUUUACACAUGCAAGUCGAACGGCAGCGCGGGCUUCGGCCUGGCGGCGAGUGGCGAACGGGUGAGUAAUACAUCGGAACGUGCCCAGUAGUGGGGGAUAGCUCGGCGAAAGCCGGAUUAAUACCGCAUACGACCUGAGGGUGAAAGCGGGGGAUCUUCGGACCUCGCGCUAUUGGAGCGGCCGAUGGCAGAUUAGCUAGUUGGUGGGGUAAAGGCCUUCCAAGGCGACGAUCUGUAGCUGGUCUGAGAGGACGACCAGCCACACUGGGACUGAGACACGGCCCAGACUCCUACGGGAGGCAGCAGUGGGGAAUUUUGGACAAUGGGCGAAAGCCUGAUCCAGCAAUGCCGCGUGUGUGAUGAAGGCCUUCGGGUUGUAAAGCACUUUUGGCGGGAACGAAAAGGACUGUGCCAAUACCACGGUUCGAUGACGGUACCCGCAGAAUAAGCACCGGCUAACUACGU